rnacentral:rRNA from 1 species
CACCGGGAUUGCCUUAGUAACGGCGAGUGAAGCGGCAAAAGCUCAAAUUUGAAAUCUGGCGUCUUCGACGUCCGAGUUGUAAUUUGAAGAAGGCGACUUUGUAGCUGGUCCUUGUCUAUGUUCCUUGGAACAGGACGUCAUAGAGGGUGAGAAUCCCGUGUGGCGAGGAUCCCAGUUAUUUGUAAAGUGCUUUCGACGAGUCGAGUUGUUUGGGAAUGCAGCUCUAAGUGGGUGGUAAAUUCCAUCUAAAGCUAAAUAUUGGCGAGAGACCGAUAGCGAACAAGUACAGUGAUGGAAAGAUGAAAAGAACUUUGAAAAGAGAGUGAAAAAGUACGUGAAAUUGUUGAAAGGGAAGGGCAUUUGAUCAGACAUGGCGUUUGCUUCGGCUUUCGCUGGGCCAGCAUCAGUUUUAGCGGUUGGAUAAAUCCUCGGGAAUGUGGCUCUGCUUCGGUAGAGUGUUAUAGCCCGUGGGAAUACAGCCAGCUGGGACUGAGGAUUGCGACUUUUGUCAAGGAUGCUGGCGUAAUGGUUAAAUGCCGCCCGUCUUGAAAACACGGACCAA